AGGGUUGAGGUUCCCUGGUAGAACAUCUGCCUUGCAUGCAGAAUGCCCCGGGUUCGAUCCCUGGCAUCUCCA